AUUGAACGCUGGCGGCAGGCCUAACACAUGCAAGUCGAACGAGUGGCGGACGGGUGAGUAAUGUCUGGGAAACUGCCUGGUAGAGGGGGAUAACUACUGGAAACGGUAGCUAAUACCGCAUACCAUCGGAUGUGCCCAGAUGGGAUUAGCUAGUUGGUGGGGUAACGGCUCACCUAGGCGACGAUCCCUAGCUGGUCUGAGAGGAUGACCAGCCACACUGGAACUGAGACACGGCCCAGACUCCUACGGGAGGCAGCAGUGGGGAAUAUUGCACAAUGGGCGAAAGCCUGAUGCAGCCAUGCCGCGUGUAUGAAGAAGGCCUUCGGGUUGUAAAGUACUUUCAGCGGGGAGGCGGUAUCCGCAGAAGAAGCACCGGCUAACUCCGUGCCAGCAGCCGCGGUAAUUC
rnacentral:rRNA from 1 species